AUUCCUCACAUAUCACCAAUUUUUUGAGCAUUAAUUAUAGUUAUAACUUUUUCAAUAAUUUUGAUUCUUUUAUCAAUAAUUUAUUUUAGUAAUUCCCCUAGAACACCUGACUCUUCAAAAAUUACAAAGAGUAGUGUUAGAUUUAACUGAAUAUGAUAA
rnacentral:misc_RNA from 1 species